GAUGAAAUGGUUUGAACCUUGCAAGGGUUUGUUCUGUUUAACCAUCUUUAUUCAUAAAUGAUCUUCUUAUCUGUUCCUGCUGCAACAUCACAUCAAGAAGUGUUGUGUACAUCUUAGACUGAUCUGAGCUCAACAGCAAACCUGUCAUUCAGUAUUCGUUAUCUGUCAUUUGACUUGUUUACAUAUAUGACAUUUUCUUUAUUUCUAUUGAGAUAGUGUUGAUGUGCACCUACAACUUUAAACAGAGCAGCAGUGUGACAUCUACAAAACAGAUGUUCUCUAUCUCACGCUUGUCCCCUCUUCCGGUCCAUGGACGAAAAGAUUAUUAGGUUUGAUCAGCCCGCUGUCUUAAAGAUGGAUGUCUACCGCCUGUUCAGUGGAGUAGUUGCUGUUUUUUCGCUGCUCUUAUUCAAGCAACAGUUAAAUAUCAGCCAAGUUUUACUGCUACUGAAUGCAAGAAAGAGGAAAAGAUUAAAUGAUUUUGCAGUUCAGGUUAGAUUUGCAAAGUUCCUGUGAGAAAGCACGCAGAGAAACUCUUUAUUCAUGUCUUUUCAUGAUUUGGAAGGAUUGAGAAGGAACAGAACCUGCAUGUCAUAAUUUUCUUUCUUCUCAGCUGUUUUUCUUCUUUCUCUCUUCUGUGUACCACACAGACAUUACCCCAUACCCCCCCCCCCCCCCCACACACAAAAACUCUUCAGUUAGACCAGUAGCUGUCGUCUGGGACAUUUUGGACAAUGGACAUUUGUUGAAAAGCCUCUGGUGGAAAAGUUUACAUCAGAAUAAUAGCAGGACAUUGAACGUCUUUGUUUGAAUGAAUAUCAGAUUCUCAUAACAGUUUGUGUACAGUAAUGUUUUUUGGAUAGUGUUAAAUUUUUAAUAACUUAAUUUAAUCCUUCUUUCUCUAUCUACCCCUCCUCCCCUCCCUUCUCUCCCUUCUCUCUUUCAUUGCCCUGCCCCUCCCUUUUUCUGCCCAUCUCAUCCCCUAUUCUGGAUUUAAACCCAGGACCAUUUCACUCAAAGGCUGGAGUUUAAACCAGUACACCACAGGCCAGCCUGCUGAUGGCAGCCUUUUCAAGUCUUUUCACUGGACCGUCUCAUUAUGACUAUUUAAAAUCUACUUGAGUCUACAAGGUGGGAGAUGCAUUUCACAUUUGCCCCAGUUGAAAGUCCCCGCACUGGGAAGAUUUGAAAAUAGGACCAUCUGACUCAUGGGUUGGAUCCCUUUGCCAUAUUUUACCUUCAAUCAUUUUUUAUAUGCUAAACUCAGAUUUCCAUGUGAG